rnacentral:rRNA from 1 species
UAUUAGUUAGUUGGUGGGGUAACGGCUCACCAAGACAACGAUACAUAGGGGACUGAGAGGUUAACCCCCACAUUGGUACUGAGACACGGACCAAACUCCUACGGAAGGCAGCAG